GUUAGGGUUAGGUAAAUUGAAACAACUCAUGAAUCUCCCCACGUCGUCCGACGACUUCGCAGUUAGGAUAGAGAUCCAAGGCAAGGCACUGGCCGGCGCUUGUUAUUCAUGGCCUUAAUGUCCUCAUAUGCUUUGACCCGUUAUUUAGAAUGAGCUUUCGUUUUUCCGGUUUUGGAUUUUUUUCAGGUCGAUGCGUUUUGUUUUGGUUUUUGAGAGAGGAUAGAUUUUUCCUUUUUGUAUGUUCGGUUGGUGUUAAGAUGGGAUAGAUUUUCCGUUAGUGUUACUCGGUUGGUUUGAAGGUAGGAUAGAUUUUUCCUUUUGUUUGUUCGAUUGGUGUUAGAACAGGAAAGUUUUUUCUUUUUUUGUGUUAUUUGGUUGGUUUUUAACAAAGGAUAGAUUUUAUAUUUUUUGUUUUAAAGCUUUGGUUUAUGUUAUUUUGAAAAAUCUCUUCAAGAACUGCAGGACAUGUCAUCAGUUGUGGUCCUCAGGAUCAUCGAGUGUUUCGGCCGUUAUCACAAGACACUCACCCGAGGGAGGCCCUCCCGAGGUCGAUCAACUCCCGGGAAUGUCCUACAACUCCUCAAGAACUUCUUCCUUUUUAUAAGGUUUGUUUGGUUGGUGUUAAAAUAGGGAAGAUUUUUCCUUUUAGUGUUACUCGGUUGGUCUUUAGGAGAGGAUAGAUAUUUCCUUUGUUUGUUCGGUUGGUGUUAAGAUGGGAUAGCCACUCGGGUUAAGGUUAGGGAAUAAGGCUAAAAGGUUAAGGUUAGGAUUUAGAUAAGUGGUGGGGAUAGCCACUCGGGUUAAGGUUAGGGAAUAAAGCUAAAGG